UGCCAGCCGCCGCGGUAAUACAGAGGGUGCAAGCGUUGUUCGGAAUCACUGGGCGUAAAGCGCGCGUAGGCUGUUUCGUAAGUCAGAUGUGAAAGCCCACGGCUCAACCGUGGAAGUGCAUCUGAAACUGCGUGACUUGAAUCUUGGAGAGGGUGGUAGAAUUCCUGGUGUAGAGGUGAAAUUCGUAGAUAUCAGGAGGAAUACCGGUGGCGAAGGCGACCACCUGGACAGUGACUGACACUGAGGUGCGAAAGCGUGGGGAGCAAACAGGAUUAGAUA
rnacentral:rRNA from 1 species